rnacentral:rRNA from 1 species
UACGUAGGGCGCAAGCGUUGUCCGGAAUUAUUGGGCGUAAAGAGCUCGUAGGUGGCGUGUCGCGUCUGCCGUGAAAGCCCAUGGCUUAACUGUGGGUCUGCGGUGGAUACGGGCAGGCUGGAGGCUGGUAGGGGCAAGCGGAAUUCCUGGUGUAGCGGUGAAAUGCGUAGAUAUCGAGAGGAACACCUGCGGCGAAGGCGGGUUGCUGGGCUGACACUGACGCUGAAGUGCGAAAGCUAGGGGAGCGAACGGG